rfam:Xenopus laevis strain J chromosome 1L, whole genome shotgun sequence.
AUGCAAACUAGAUCACUGGCUCUGCAUCGUGUUGCAGCAGCAAGGGGAACACGUUUGCUAAAUUAACCAGCCAAGGGUAAACCUUUGCCUUUAAGUC